GAUGAACGCUAGCGGCAGGCUUAAUACAUGCAAGUCGAGGGGCAGCACGAAUAGCAAUAUUUGGUGGCGACCGGCGCACGGGUGCGUAACACGUAUACAACCUACCUAUAACAGGGGGAUAGCCUUUCGAAAGAGAGAUUAAUACCCCGUAAUAAAUUGAGUGGCAUCACUUGAUUUUGAAAGCUACGGCGGUUAUAGAUGGGUAUGCGUCUGAUUAGCUAGUUGGUGAGGUAACGGCUCACCAAGGCGACGAUCAGUAGGGGAUCUGAGAGGACUAACCCCCACACUGGUACUGAGACACGGACCAGACUCCUACGGGAGGCAGCAGUAAGGAAUAUUGGUCAAUGGAGGCAACUCUGAACCAGCCAUGCCGCGUGCAGGAUGACGGCCCUAUGGGUUGUAAACUGCUUUUGUACCAGAGAAAACCUACUCACGUGUGAGUAGCUGAUAGUAUGGUAAGAAUAAGCAUCGGCUAACUUCGUGCCAG
rnacentral:rRNA from 1 species